GUCUAUGGCCAUACCACCCUGAAUGCGCCCGAUCUCAUCUGAUCUCGGAAGCUAAGCAGGGUUGGGCCUGGUCAGUACUUGGAUGGAAGAUU
rnacentral:rRNA from 1 species